CCUACGGGAGGCAGCAGUGGGGAAUAUUGCACAAUGGGGGAAACCCUGAUGCAGCGACGCCGCGUGAGUGAAGAAGUAAUUCGUUAUGUAAAGCUCUAUCAGUAGGGAAGAAAAUGACGGUACCUGAGUAAUAAGCCCCGGCUAACUCCGUGCCAGCCGCCGCGGUAAUACGUAGGGGGCAAGCGUUAUCCGGAUUUACUGGGUGUAAAGGGAGCGUAGACGGGAGUGCAAGUCUGGAGUGAAAGGCGGGGGCUCAACCCCCGGACUGCUUUGGAAACUGUACGGCUGGAGUGCGGGAGAGGUAAGUGGAAUUCCUGGUGUAGCGGUGAAAUGCGUAGAUAUUAGGAGGAACACUAGUGGCGAAGGCGGCUUACUGGACUGUAACUGACGUUGAGGCUCGAAAGCGUGGGGAGCAAACAGGAUUAGAUACCCUUGUAGUC
rnacentral:rRNA from 1 species